rnacentral:rRNA from 1 species
UACAGAGGUCUCAAGCGUUGUUCGGAUUCAUUGGGCGUAAAGGGUGCGUAGGCGGCGCGGUAAGUCGGGUGUGAAAUCUUGGAGCUUAACUCCGAAACUGCAUUCGAUACUGCCGUGCUUUGAGGACUGGAGAGGAGACUGGAAUUUACGGUGUAGCGGUGAAAUGCGUAGAUAUCGUAAGGAAGACCAGUGGCGAAGGCGGGUCUCUGGGCCGAUACUGACGCUGAGGAGCGAAAGCGUGGGGAGCGAACAGG